AUGAAUUAUGCUCUACUUGCCCAUUAUACCGCGGAAGAUGUUCGCAAGGCUUUAUUCAAUAUUGGGGACUUGAAAGCUCCAGGGCUAGAUGGACUCCAUGCUAUCUUCUAUAAAAGGUUCUGGCCCAUGCUAGGGGAAAACCUAAUUGAGGAGGUUCAGAAAGCAAUCAACACAUGUACUAUCUCGAAUGGUUGGAAUGAUACAGUGAUCGUGAUGAUUCCUAAAAUUAAUACACCAGAAAAGGUAACCCAAUUUAGUCUGAUCAUCUUAUGUAAUGUGGUAUACAAAAUAAUUGCAAAAAUGGUGGCUUCUCGUUUGAAGGCUUUUCUACCAAAAAUUAUUAGUCCAACACAAAGUGCAUUUGUACCAGGUAGAUUGAUAACUAAUAAUAUUUUAGUGGCCUACGAAUGUUUUCACACAAUCAAGAAUAAAAGAGAGGGUAGAGAGGGCUUGUGUGCUAUAAAACUUGACAUGAACAAAGCUUACAAUAGAGUCGAGUGGUCUUUUUUGAAGGAGAUUAUGUUGAAGUUGGUUUUUCAUGGAGAGUGGGUUAAUUUGAUUAUGCAAUGCCUCUCAACUGUAGAAUACAAAGUAAGGAUCAAUGCAGAGGAAAGUGAGGGAUUUAAGCCUACUAGAGGGUUGAGGCAGGGGUGCCCGCUAUCACCAUACCUCUUUCUGUUAUGCACAGAAGGGUUGAAUGCCUUGCUUACGCAUGUUGAGGAGAACAGAAACAUAUUAAGAGUUAAAGUCUGUAGAGACACCUCGCCAGUCAGAAAUCUUCUCUUUGCGGAUGAUACAUUGAUCUUGAUGAAACCCAACUAACAUAAUGCGGCGGCCCUGAAAUCAACACUAGAUUUAUAUUGUGCGGCGUCGGGACAGCUGGUAAGCAUGGAAAAUUCCAGUAUUUUCAGUCCUAAUACAAAGGUAGAGAUCAGAGAACAAUUGAGUAAAAUGCUGAAUAUAAUGAUGGAGGCUCUCAAUGACAAAUACUUGGGCUUGCCAGCAAAUUUGGGUGUUGAUAAAAUAGACUGCUUUAAAUUUCUGAUUGAACGUAUUGUUAAGAAAAUUAGUGGUUGGAAGGAAAAAAUACUAUCUCCGGGGAAGGAGAUCCUGCUCAAGGCUGUGAUCCAAGCCAUACCUACCUAUGUAAUGUCAGUCUUUAAAAUUCCUAAAAAAAUUAUGAAGGAAUCAUUAACGCGAUAG
rnacentral:rRNA from 1 species